AUUGAACGCUGGCGGCAGGCCUAACACAUGCAAGUCGGACGAGCGGCGGACGGGUGAGUAAGGUAUGGGGACCUGCCUGAUGGCGGGGGAUAACUACUGGAAACCGUAGCUAAUACCGCAUACCAUCAGAUGAACCCAGGGGGGAUUAGCGAGUUGGGGAGGUAACGGCUUACCUAGGCGACGAUCCCUAGCUGGUCUGAGAGGAUGAUCAGCCACACUGGGACUGAGACACGGCCCAGACUCUGACGGGAGGCAGCAGUAGGGAAUAUUGCACAAUGGGCGCAAGCCUGAUGCAGCCAUGCCGCGUGUAUGAAGAAGGCUUUCGGGUUGUAAAGUACUUUCAGUCGGGAAGCGUUACCGACAGAGGAAGCACCGGCUAACUCCGUGCCAGCAGCCGCGGUAAUAC
rnacentral:rRNA from 1 species